rnacentral:rRNA from 1 species
GGGUUGUGAGGUUAAGCGACUAAGCGUACACGGUGGAUGCCCUGGCAGUCAGAGGCGAUGAAGGACGUGCUAAUCUGCGAUAAGCGUCGGUAAGGUGAUAUGAACCGUUAUAACCGGCGAUUUCCGAAUGGGGAAACCCAGUGUGUUUCGACACACUAUCAUUAACUGAAUCCAUAGGUUAAUGAGGCGAACCGGGGGAACUGAAACAUCUAAGUACCCCGAGGAAAAGAAAUCAACCGAGAUUCCCCCAGUAGCGGCGAGCGAACGGGGAGCAGCCCAGAGCCUGAAUCAGUGUGUGUGUUAGUGGAAGCGUCUGGAAAGGCGCGCGAUACAGGGUGACAGCCCCGUACACAAAAAUGCACAUGCUGUGAGCUCGAUGAGUAGGGCGGGACACGUGGUAUCCUGUCUGAAUAUGGGGGGACCAUCCUCCAAGGCUAAAUACUCCUGACUGACCGAUAGUGAACCAGUACCGUGAGGGAAAGGCGAAAAGAACCCCGGCGAGGGGAGUGAAAAAGAACCUGAAACCGUGUACGUACAAGCAGUGGGAGCACGCUUAGGCGUGUGACUGCGUACCUUUUGUAUAAUGGGUCAGCGACUUAUAUUCUGUAGCAAGGUUAACCGAAUAGGGGAGCCGAAGGGAAACCGAGUCUUAACUGGGCGUUAAGUUGCAGGGUAUAGACCCGAAACCCGGUGAUCUAGCCAUGGGCAGGUUGAAGGUUGGGUAACACUAACUGGAGGACCGAACCGACUAAUGUUGAAAAAUUAGCGGAUGACUUGUGGCUGGGGGUGAAAGGCCAAUCAAACCGGGAGAUAGCUGGUUCUCCCCGAAAGCUAUUUAGGUAGCGCCUCGUGAAUUCAUCUCCGGGGGUAGAGCACUGUUUCGGCAAGGGGGUCAUCCCGACUUACCAACCCGAUGCAAACUGCGAAUACCGGAGAAUGUUAUCACGGGAGACACACGGCGGGUGCUAACGUCCGUCGUGAAGAGGGAAACAACCCAGACCGCCAGCUAAGGUCCCAAAGUCAUGGUUAAGUGGGAAACGAUGUGGGAAGGCCCAGACAGCCAGGAUGUUGGCUUAGAAGCAGCCAUCAUUUAAAGAAAGCGUAAUAGCUCACUGGUCGAGUCGGCCUGCGCGGAAGAUGUAACGGGGCUAAACCAUGCACCGAAGCUGCGGCAGCGACACUAUGUGUUGUUGGGUAGGGGAGCGUUCUGUAAGCCUGUGAAGGUGUGCUGUGAGGCAUGCUGGAGGUAUCAGAAGUGCGAAUGCUGACAUAAGUAACGAUAAAGCGGGUGAAAAGCCCGCUCGCCGGAAGACCAAGGGUUCCUGUCCAACGUUAAUCGGGGCAGGGUGAGUCGACCCCUAAGGCGAGGCCGAAAGGCGUAGUCGAUGGGAAACAGGUUAAUAUUCCUGUACUUGGUGUUACUGCGAAGGGGGGACGGAGAAGGCUAUGUUGGCCGGGCGACGGUUGUCCCGGUUUAAGCGUGUAGGCUGGUUUUCCAGGCAAAUCCGGAAAAUCAAGGCUGAGGCGUGAUGACGAGGCACUACGGUGCUGAAGCAACAAAUGCCCUGCUUCCAGGAAAAGCCUCUAAGCAUCAGGUAACAUCAAAUCGUACCCCAAACCGACACAGGUGGUCAGGUAGAGAAUACCAAGGCGCUUGAGAGAACUCGGGUGAAGGAACUAGGCAAAAUGGUGCCGUAACUUCGGGAGAAGGCACGCUGAUAUGUAGGUGAAGUCCCUCGCGGAUGGAGCUGAAAUCAGUCGAAGAUACCAGCUGGCUGCAACUGUUUAUUAAAAACACAGCACUGUGCAAACACGAAAGUGGACGUAUACGGUGUGACGCCUGCCCGGUGCCGGAAGGUUAAUUGAUGGGGUUAGCGCAAGCGAAGCUCUUGAUCGAAGCCCCGGUAAACGGCGGCCGUAACUAUAACGGUCCUAAGGUAGCGAAAUUCCUUGUCGGGUAAGUUCCGACCUGCACGAAUGGCGUAAUGAUGGCUAGGCUGUCUCCACCCGAGACUCAGUGAAAUUGAACUCGCUGUGAAGAUGCAGUGUACCCGCGGCAAGACGGAAAGACCCCGUGAACCUUUACUAUAGCUUGACACUGAACAUUGAGCCUUGAUGUGUAGGAUAGGUGGGAGGCUUAGAAGUGUGGACGCCAGUCUGCAUGGAGCCGACCUUGAAAUACCACCCUUUAAUGUUUGAUGUUCUAACGUUGACCCGUAAUCCGGGUUGCGGACAGUGUCUGGUGGGUAGUUUGACUGGGGCGGUCUCCUCCUAAAGAGUAACGGAGGAGCACGAAGGUUGGCUAAUCCUGGUCGGACAUCAGGAGGUUAGUGCAAUGGCAUAAGCCAGCUUGACUGCGAGCGUGACGGCGCGAGCAGGUGCGAAAGCAGGUCAUAGUGAUCCGGUGGUUCUGAAUGGAAGGGCCAUCGCUCAACGGAUAAAAGGUACUCCGGGGAUAACAGGCUGAUACCGCCCAAGAGUUCAUAUCGACGGCGGUGUUUGGCACCUCGAUGUCGGCUCAUCACAUCCUGGGGCUGAAGUAGGUCCCAAGGGUAUGGCUGUUCGCCAUUUAAAGUGGUACGCGAGCUGGGUUUAGAACGUCGUGAGACAGUUCGGUCCCUAUCUGCCGUGGGCGCUGGAGAACUGAGGGGGGCUGCUCCUAGUACGAGAGGACCGGAGUGGACGCAUCACUGGUGUUCGGGUUGUCAUGCCAAUGGCACUGCCCGGUAGCUAAAUGCGGAAGAGAUAAGUGCUGAAAGCAUCUAAGCACGAAACUUGCCCCGAGAUGAGUUCUCCCUGACCCUUUAAGGGUCCUGAAGGAACGUUGAAGACGACGACGUUGAUAGGCCGGGUGUGUAAGCGCAGCGAUGCGUUGAGCUAACCGGUACUAAUGAACCGUGAGGCUUAACCUUACAACGCCGAAGCUGUU